CAAGACAUAGCUUAAUUAAAGCAUCUAGUUUACACCUAGAAGAUUUCGUGUACUGUGAAUGUUUUGA